UACGUAGGGGGCGAGCGUUGUCCGGAUUCAUUGGGCGUAAAGCGCUUUAAGGCGGUUCGCUAAGUCGCGUGUGAAACCUCCAGGCUCAACCUGGAGACGCCACGCGAUACUGGCGUGACUAGAGUUCGGUAGGGGAUCACGGAAUUCCUGGUGUAGCGGUGAAAUGCGCAGAUAUCAGGAGGAACACCGAUGGCGAAGGC
rnacentral:rRNA from 1 species